AUUGAACGCUGGCGGCAGGCCUACCACAUGCAAGUCGAGCGAGCGGAGGACGGGUGAGUAAUGUCUGGGAAACCGACUGAUGGGUGGGGAUAACUACUGGAAACGGUAGCUAAUACCGCAUACCAUCAGAUGUGGCCAGAUGGGAGUAGCUAGUAGGGGGGGUAACGGCUCACCUAGGCGACGAUCCCUAGCUGGUCUGAGAGGAUGACCAGCCACACUGGAACUGAGACACGGUCCCGACUCCGACGGGAGGCAGCAGUGGGGAAUCUUCCACAAUGGACGCAAGCCUGAUGCAGCCAGGCGGCGUGUGUGAAGAAGGCCUUCGGGUUGUAAAGCCCUUUCGGCGGGGAGGCGUUACCCACAGAGGAAGCACCGGCUAACUCCGUGCCAGCAGCCGCGGUAAUAC
rnacentral:rRNA from 1 species